GAUGAACGCUGGCGGCGUGCCUAAUACAUGCAAGUCGAGCGAACGGACGAGAAGCCUGCUUCUCUGAUGUUAGCGGCGGACGGGUGAGUAACACGUGGAUAACCUACCUAUAAGACUGGGAUAACUUCGGGAAACCGGAGCUAAUACCGUAUAAUAUUUUGAACCGCAUGGUUCAAAAGUGAAAGACGGUCUUGCUGUCACUUAUAGAUGGAUCCGCGCUGCAUUAGCUAGUUGGUAAGGUAACGGCUUACCAAGGCAACGAUGCAUAGCCGACCUGAGAGGGUGAUCGGCCACACUGGAACUGAGACACGGUCCAGACUCCUACGGGAGGCAGCAGUAGGGAAUCUUCCGCAAUGGGCGAAAGCCUGACGGAGCAACGCCGCGUGAGUGAUGAAGGUCUUCGGAUCGUAAAACUCUGUUAUUAGGGAAGAACAUAUGUGUAAGUAACUGUGCACAGCUUGACGGUACCUAAUCAGAAAGCCACGGCUAACUACGUG
rnacentral:rRNA from 1 species